rnacentral:tRNA from 1 species
GCCAGCAUGGCAUAGUGGUUUGAGUGCUGGACUAGGACUCUGGAUACCAGGGUUCUAUUCCCAGCUCGGCCA